UACAGGGGGGGCAAGCGUUGUUCGGAAUUACUGGGCGUAAAGGGUUCGUAGGUGGCCAACUAAGUCAGACGUGAAAUCCCUCAGCUUAACUGGGGAACUGCGUCUGAUGCUGGAUGGCUUGAGUGUAGGAGAGGAAUGCGGAAUUCCAGGUGUAGCGGUGAAAUGCGUAGAUAUCUGGAGGAACACCGGUGGCGAAGGCGGCAUUCUGGACUACAACUGACACUGAGGAACGAAAGCCAGGGGAGCAAACGGG
rnacentral:rRNA from 1 species